ACGUAUCAGAAGUGCGAAUGCUGACAUGAGUAACGAUAAUGGGGGUGAAAAACCCCCACGCCGGAAGACCAAGGGUUCCUGCGCAACGCUAAUCGGCGCAGGGUGAGUCGGCCCCUAAGGCGAGACCGAAAGGUGUAGUCGAUGGGAAACGGAUUAAUAUUUCCGUACCUUGGAUAGCUGCGAUGGAGAGACGGAGAAGGCUAGGUGAGCCGGGCGACGGUUGUCCCGGUUUAAGCGUGUAGGGAGUGGACUUAGGCAAAUCCGGGUCCACAAUCCCGAGACGC
rnacentral:rRNA from 1 species